AUUGGAGAUUGCAUUUCUUAUUGUGGAAAGGAUGCUUAAGUGAGCGGCUUAGGAGGGAGUUUCUGACUGAUAAAAUGAAUCAGAAAAAAAAGCUACUUUUCACUCUAGAGUCCGUGAAAAAUGGAGUAUCUGUCCAACACGGGUGUUUAAGGAGAUACUAGAAGAAAAUCCCCACCCUACCCAUAUGGGUUUAGUUUUGUAUAUUUGCUCCUUUCAAAAAUCUUGAGGUAGUUAUCACCCCCGUUUUACAGAGAAAAGCAAGAUCUCAAAGUCAUCCUGGUAAUAAAACCUGAAAUCAGGAUUCAGGUUUUCUUUUGUAAUUCAUGAAUGCUUUUAAAAAAUUGCUUCUCAUUAUUAAUAUAUAUAAAAGGACAUUUAAGAGAUAUAUGUAAGUUAUAAAGAAUAAUAAUACCAUGGACACCCUUGUGUGUGCCCAACAUGGAGUUGAAGAAGUCCCCUGAGUGUUCUUCCCCAUUGAAUCUCAUCCUGAUCCCUCUGAGCUAACCUCUAUCUUGAAUUUUACAGCGAUUAUUCCGUUGCUUUCCUGUGUAUAUUUCCAAGCCUUGCACAGUAUAUGUUGGUUAAUUUUGCAUGUUCUCAUUUUUUAUAUACAGGAAUCAUACUGUUAAGUGUUCUGCUAUGUGAUUUUCAUGCUCAGUCCUACACUAGCCUACCUGCCACUGCAUGUGGCUGUCCUUGGAUUGUCCAGGGCUCUAUUGAGAUGGAUCAUUACCUGUGCUUUGAAUCUCAGAUAUUGUGAAUAAAUAUCACCUUUGUUCUUGGGAACCUGAUUAUCAGUUUAACUGUUCUGCC
rnacentral:lncRNA from 1 species